CGCUAUCACUCCUACGGGAGGCAGCAGUAGGGAAUCUUCCACAAUGGGCGCAAGCCUGAUGGAGCAACACCGCGUGAGUGAAGAAGGGUUUCGGCUCGUAAAGCUCUGUUGUUAAAGAAGAACACGUAUGAGAGUAACUGUUCAUACGUUGACGGUAUUUAACCAGAAAGUCACGGCUAACUACGUGCCAGCAGCCGCGGUAAUACGUAGGUGCAAGCGUUAUCCGGAUUUAUUGGGCGUAAAGAGAGUGCAGGCGGUUUUCUAAGUCUGAUGUGAAAGCCUUCGGCUUAACCGGAGAAGUGCAUCGGAAACUGGAUAACUUGAGUGCAGAAGAGGGUAGUGGAACUCCAUGUGUAGCGGUGGAAUGCGUAGAUAUAUGGAAGAACACCAGUGGCGAAGGCGGCUACCUGGUCUGCAACUGACGCUGAGACUCGAAAGCAUGGGUAGCGAACAGGAUUAGAUACCCUGGUAG
rnacentral:rRNA from 1 species